GACCCAGUAUUAGCUAUAUUAAUUCCAGAAAAUUAGAGCAACAUGUCAAAAUCAAAGCAUAAUCACCAAGAACCAAAUCAAAUAACUACCUACCAGCAACCAUACAACAAAAUUCAAAAAUUGAAGCAGCUAGUAAAAAUCGACUAUCAUAUGAUAUCAGUGCCUGCUAACUGGAAGUAGCAAUGAGGGAAUGCACCGGCCAGCUGGAUGUAGCAAAGCUGGUUAAUCAUCGGUGUGAAGCGGUGAAAACAAAGGUGGCAGGGCUUCAACACUUGCAGUAGCCAUGGAGUCUCCACUAACUCAUAAUGCGAAGGACAGCUUCCAUAUCAAAAGUUGGCUGUAUGGGUAGGACUUGUGACUGAAGCCCAGAGCCCGAUAUCAAAUGGUUCAUCUCUUUAAAUUUCUUUUUAUAGAUGCAACAUGAGUUAUAAGAAAAAAAAAAUUAAUGUGGAAAAGCAAUGAAUAGAUAUGGAAAAAUAUGCUUGCAUCAGCUACAUGGAGGAUGGAAUCCUGCCCCUAUAUAAACAAACCACACAAAACUAUUUUCAUAUGUAUAUGCGCCUUCUUUAUUUCCACUUUUGGCAAGCACUUCCGUUGGCCAAAAAAAAAAAAA
rnacentral:misc_RNA from 1 species